rnacentral:rRNA from 1 species
GACAGAGGGUGCAAACGUUGUUCGGAAUUACUGGGCGUAAAGCGUGCGCAGGCGGUUUUGUAAGUCUGUCGUGAAAGCCCCGGGCUUAACCUGGGAAUUGCGAUGGAGACUGCAAGGCUUGAAUCUGGCAGAGGGGGGGUAGAAUUCCACGUGUAGCAGUGAAAUGCGUAGAGAUGUGGAGGAACACCGAUGGCGAAGGCAGCCCCCCUGGGUCAAGAUUGACGCUCAUGCACGAAAGCGUGGGGAGCAAACAGG